rnacentral:rRNA from 1 species
CGUACGUGAACCUGCGGAUGGAUCAUUGUCGA